GACGUAGGGCGCGAGCGUUGUCCGGAUUUAUUGGGCGUAAAGAGCUCGUAGGCGGCUUGUCGCGUCGUCCGUGAAAACCUGGGGCUCAACCCCAGGCUUGCGGUCGAUACGGGCAGGCUGGAGUUCGGUAGGGGAGACUGGAAUUCCUGGUGUAGCGGUGAAAUGCGCAGAUAUCAGGAGGAACACCGGUGGCGAAGGCGGGUCUCUGGGCCGAUACUGACGCUGAGGAGCGAAAGCGUGGGGAGCGAACAGG
rnacentral:rRNA from 1 species